rnacentral:rRNA from 1 species
GAGGGGGCAAGCGUUGUUCGGAAUUACUGGGCGUAAAGGGCGCGUAGGCGGCCUGUUAAGUCGAACGUGAAAUCCCCGGGCUCAACCCGGGAACUGCGUCCGAUACUGGCAGGCUUGAAUCCGGGAGAGGGAUGCGGAAUCCCAGGUGUAGCGGUGAAAUGCGUAGAUAUCUGGAGGAACACCGGUGGCGAAGGCGGCAUCCUGGACCGGCAUUGACGCUGAGGCGCGAAAGCCAGGGGAGCAAACGGGAUUAGAUACCCCGGUGGUCCUGGCCCUAAACGAUGAAUGCUUGGUGUGGCGGGUAUCGAUCCCUGCCGUGCCGAAGCUAACGCAUUAAGCAUUCCGCCUGGGGAGUACGGUCGCAAGGCUG